rnacentral:rRNA from 1 species
AUUGAACGCUGGCGGCAGGCUUAACACAUGCAAGUCGAGCGGGGGAAGGUAGCUUGCUACCGGACCUAGCGGCGGACGGGUGAGUAAUGCUUAGGAAUCUGCCUAUUAGUGGGGGACAACAUCUCGAAAGGGAUGCUAAUACCGCAUACGUCCUACGGGAGAAAGCAGGGGAUCUUCGGACCCUGCGCUAAUAGAUGAGCCUAAGUCGGAUUAGCUAGUUGGUGGGGUAAAGGCCUACCAAGGCGACGAUCUGUAGCGGGUCUGAGAGGAUGAUCCGCCACACUGGGACUGAGACACGGCCCAGACUCCUACGGGAGGCAGCAGUGGGGAAUAUUGGACAAUGGGGGGAACCCUGAUCCAGCCAUGCCGCGUGUGUGAAGAAGGCCUUAUGGUUGUAAAGCACUUUAAGCGAGGAGGAGGCUACUUUAGUUAAUACCUAGAGAUAGUGGACGUUACUCGCAGAAUAAGCACCGGCUAACUCUGUGCCAGCAGCCGCGGUAAUACAGAGGGUGCGAGCGUUAGUCGGAUUUACUGGGCGUAAAGCGUGCGUAGGCGGCUUAUUAAGUCGGAUGUGAAAUCCCCGAGCUUAACUUG